CUAAGAAUAUACUUUAUCAUUUUCUUUGUAUCCUAAAGUAGGGGGAAGUGGUAAUAUAUGCAGCAUUCUGAGAGCAGCAGCAGCAGCAGAAUCCUUUAGCCACUAGAGCCUACCGAUUACUUUAUAUGACUUG